CAGUAAGUAUUUUAAUUAAAAAUAUUAGUUUUGGAGACUAAAGAUGAACAUUCUUUACUGA
rnacentral:tRNA from 1 species